rnacentral:rRNA from 1 species
AGGAUGAACGCUAGCGGAGGCUUAACACAUGCAAGUCGAGGGGUAAAUGGUAGCAAUACUAUGAGACCGGCGAACGGGUGCGUAACGCGUAUGCAACUUACCUUAUGCAGGGGGAUAGCCCGUGGAAACGCGGAUUAAUAUCCCAUAGAUCAGUAAUAUCGCAUGGUAUAACUGGUAAAACUCAGGUGGCAUAAGAUAGGCAUGCGUCUGAUUAGCUAGUUGGUAGGGUAACGGCCUACCAAGGCGACGAUCAGUAGGGGUUCUGAGAGGAUUAACCCCCACACUGGUACUGAGACACGGACCAGACUCCUACGGGAGGCAGCAGUGAGGAAUAUUGGUCAAUGGGCGCAAGCCUGAACCAGCCAUCCCGCGUGAAGGAAGAAGGCCCUACGGGUUGUAAACUUCUUUUCUGUUUGAAGAAUAAGCUCGUCGAGACGAGUGAUGCCGGUAGGACAGGAAUAAGCAUCGGCUAACUCCGUG